CCUACGGGAGGCAGCAGUAGGGAAUAUUGGACAAUGGGCGCAAGCCUGAUCCAGCCAUGCCGCGUGCAGGAAGAAGGCUUUCUGAGUUGUAAACUGCUUUUGCCAGGGGAUAAAAAGUCCCUGCGGGGAAAAUUGAAGGUACCUGGUGAAUAAGCCACGGCUAACUACGUGCCAGCAGCCGCGGUAAUACGUAGGUGGCAAGCGUUGUCCGGAUUUAUUGAGUUUAAAGGGUGCGUAGGCGGUUCAUUAAGUCAGCGGUGAAAUACGACAGCUUAACUGUCGAGGUGCCAUUGAUACUGGAGAACUUGAGUACUGAUGAGGUAUGCGGAAUGGACGGUGUAGCGGUGAAAUGCUUAGAUAUCGUCCAGAACACCGAUAGCGAAGGCAGCAUACUAAGGAGUAACUGACGCUGAGGCACGAAAGUGUGGGGAUCAAACAGGAUUAGAUACCCUGGUAGUCCACACUGUAAACGCUGAUCACUCGAUGUUGGCGAUACACAGCCAGCGUCUUAGCAAAAGCGAUAAGUGAUCCACCUGGGGAGUACGCCGGCAACGGUGAAACUCAAAGGAAUUGACGG
rnacentral:rRNA from 1 species